rnacentral:rRNA from 1 species
AGAGUUUGAUCAUGGCUCAGGAUGAACGCUAGCGGCAGGCUUAAUACAUGCAAGUCGAACGGCAGCACUUCGGGUGGCGAGUGGCGCACGGGUGAGUAACGCGUACAAAAUCUACCUCUAACUGGGGGAAAGUCGCUGGAAACGGCGAAUAAUCCCGCAUAAGACCCCACUACCGCAUGGUAGAGUGGUAAAAGACGUAAGUUGGUAAGAGAUGAUUGUGCGUUCCAUUAGCUAGUUGGUGAGGUAACGGCUCACCAAGGCUACGAUGGUUAGGGGGCGUGAGAGCGUGAUCCCCCACACGGGUACUGAGACACGGACCCGACUCCUACGGGAGGCAGCAGUAAGGAAUAUUGGUCAAUGGAGGCAACUCUGAACCAGCCAUGCCGCGUGUGUGACGAAGGCCCUUUGGGUUGUAAAGCACUUUUGUCUGGGAAGAAUGGCAGAGAUUCAUCUUUGUAGGGACGGUACCAGAAGAAUAAGCACCGGCUAACUCCGUGCCAGCAGCCGCGGUAAUACGGAGGGUGCAAGCGUUAUCCGGAAUCACUGGGUUUAAAGGGUACGUAGGCGGUAAUGUAAGUCAGACGUUAAAGACUACGGCUAAACCGUGGUACGCGUUUGAAACUGCGUAACUUGAAUAUAUUCGAGGUGCAUGGAAUGCUUCAUGUAGCGGAAAUGCAUAGAUAUGAAGUAGAACACCAAAAGCGAAGGCAGUGCACUAGGAUAUUAUUGACGCUGAGGUACGAAAGCGUGGGUAGCGAACAGGAUUAGAUACCCUAGUAGUCC